CUGCAAUUCAUCUAUAGUACGAUUCCAAACAGAUGACAGAUAGAGGUUCAGAAAUGUUUAUGAUUUAGAAUGUAUGUAAAACUGACAUCUUAAAGAUGUUUAUCAGAUGUUUAUACACAGCAGAUGUUUUCCAGAUGAAGCGAUCUUUACACCUUGCAUCUAACCUCUGCAGACAUACCUGUGCUAUCUGGGUUGUUUGUACACUCCAUUGAUCUACAAACUUGUGUUCCUGUAGGAUUCUCAUAUAUUCAGUAUGUAGAUGAGAGCUUAGACAAAUUUUACAGAAUUUCUGUCGUUUUCUUUCCAGACAACCCUUCCCCCUUUUCAUUAUCUGUCUUAGACCUGCUUUAUUUCCCAGCUUUAUUGCCCAAAAGCUCUUCUUCUUAUCUUCAGUUACCUGAAGACCCUCAGACUUCAUCAUAAUGUCAUCAUAAUAACUCAACCGCAUCAUUGGUUGCAUUUCUGAAGGGUCACUCUCUCUCCUGCUGCUGACCCAGAGAGUGUUUACCAGGGUAACACUUCAUUUUAAGGACCUGUUCUCUCUUUUAACUAGUUUCCUUUUAAUCUAGGUUUUUUUUGUUGUUGUUGUUGUUGUUGUUGUUGUUUUUAAUUAACAACAAGGUUGCUAGAUUAGUAGUCUAAACAGUUUACGCAGCCGGCCUCUGCGUGUUCUUUGAAAUGAACUGUUCAAAAGAACCGAUUCCCGAAAAUGACUCGGAGUCGUUGACUCGCUGAAAGCUGUUGUCCAAUCAAAGAGCAAAAAGAACACAGUGGGCGGUCCUCCGCGUUGGCGGUUGUGUUUGCAGCAGUCGAUCCUGCACAAAUUUUUUCGCGAAUUUAACGAGCUUCUUGCUAAUCAUUUGAAAUCCCACCACGACCAACUUUUAAACUGGACAAUCUAGUUUUUGUUGACCGGACCAAAUAAUCCAGCAAGCGAACCGAUCGCUCUGCUCGGACAUAUUUGAGGAUGGAGGAUAUGGAGGUGGAAGUCGCUCCAGUAUCCAGUGAGGCCAGUGUGAUUGUAGUCUCUGACUCCGAGAGCAGCACAGAAGAAGAGGGUGUUCCCAUGCAGGUUCAAAGCCCGUCUGAUCGACUCAGACUCUCAGGUCUUCGGGUGGUCAGGAGGAGACAUGUAACUGGUUCACGGACGCAGUUCUCCCCGCGUGAAGAGCGAAUCCGCAGACUCCGGGAGCUCAUCGUGGAGAAUCUGGCAGAGCGGCUGAGCGGCUCCCAGGACGCACCGAAUCCACAAGCGCUGGAUCCUGAACCGAGCUCCAGACACACCGCUGCUGUUGUGAAUGUGCCCACGUCUGAUCAAUCCAGCGCUACAGGUCCACUGCCGUUUCAUUUCUCAGUUCAUCACGCGUUCAUUUUCCCAGCUAACUUUUAAAUGAUUUAAUUAAGUUCUACAUGAACAGUUUACUAUUAGAAUUGCUGAUAUCAUUUUUGAUAAUAGAAGUAAUUGACAUAAUCUUAAAUUUAUAACAUAAGAGAUGCCCAAUAUAUCAUUAACAUAUCAAUUAUAGUAAUAUAAAUUUUUAAUUUAUCAUUAUAAUAGAUAUUGGAUAUAACUCAGUUGUUCCCCUAUUUUUACAUUUCAACUAACUCAAAAUUACAGCUAUUUUUAAAUGCACCAAUACUUUUUAUAACACUUUCAAAUUGAAUAGAUUUUCAUGCAUUAUUAUGAUGUCUAAAAUUGUACAUUUUAGGUUUUAUUAUUUUAAUGUGUCUGAAUAAAUUCUAAUAUCAUCUAAUAUUAAAAUAAAUU
ensembl:lncRNA